rnacentral:rRNA from 1 species
ACCGUAAAAGUGAAAAAAUUUUAGUUUUAAUUAGGAAGUUUUUAAAAGGAAAGAGAAGUCAUUUUUUGAGGUAAAAUUGAAAAAAGGUAAUUUUUUCACGAGUAAAACUUUAAAAAUUCAAGAAGGAGACUAGGAUUAGAUACCCUAUUAUUUUUGAGAAAAAGGAAAUUAGGUAGUAGUAGCAGGCUUGAAACUUAAAGGAUUUGGCGGUGCUUUAAUCUUACCAGAGGAACUUGCGUCUUAACUCGAAAUUACCCGUUUAAUUUUACUUAAAUAUUGUUUGUAUAUCGUCGUAAAAAUAAAACUUUAAAGUGUAUAUUUAAAUUUAUUUAAUGGAAAAUUACAGAUCAAGGUUCAGCUAUAUUUAAGAGAACGUGAGUUACAAUGUUUUGUAGACAUAUGGAUAAUCUUUUGAAAUGAAGAUUUGAAGGUGGAUUUGGAAGUAUGUUAGAAGUAAAAGGUG